AUUGAACGCUGGCGGCAGGCUUAACACAUGCAAGUCGAGCGAGCGGCGGACGGGUGAGUAAUGUCUGGGAAACUGCCUGAUGGAGGGGGAUAACUACUGGAAACGGUAGCUAAUACCGCAUACCAUCAGAUGUGCCAAGAUGGGAUUAGCUAGUAGGUGGGGUAAUGGCUCACCUAGGCGACGAUCCCUAGCUGGUCUGAGAGGAUGACCACCCAUACUGGAACUGAGCCACGGUCCAGACUCCUACGGGAGGCAGCAGUGGGGAAUACUGCACAAUGGGCGCAAGCCUGAUUCAGCCUUGCCGCGUGUGUGAAGAAGGCCUUCGUGUUGUAAAGCACUUUCAGCGAGGAGUCGUUACUCGCAGAAGAAGCACCUGCUAAUGCCGUGUCAGCAGCCGCGGUAAUUC
rnacentral:rRNA from 1 species